GCCCGUAUGGUAGGACGCCGAACCUCUGUAAAGCUCCUUCGACGAGUCGAGUAGUUUGGGAAUGCUGCUCUAAAUGGGAGGUAAAUUUCUUCUAAAGCUAAAUACCGGCCAGAGACCGAUAGCGCACAAGUAGAGUGAUCGAAAGAUGAAAAGCACUUUGAAAAGAGGGUWAAAAAGUACGUGAAAUUGUUGAAAGGGAAGCGCUUGUGACCAGACUUGCGCCUGGCGGAUCAUCCAGCGUUCUCGCUGGUGCACUCCGCCAGGCUCAGGCCAGCAUCGGUUCUCGCCGGGGGACAAAGGCUUCGGGAACGUGGCUCCUUUCGGGGAGUGUUAUAGCCCGUUGCGUAAUACCCCGGCGGGGACCGACGACCCGCGCUUCSGCAAGGGAUGCUGGCGUAAUGGUCAUCAGCGACCCGUCUUGAAACACGGACCGAGGAGUCAAGCAUUAGUGCGAGUGUUUGGGUGUAAAACCCGCACGCGUAAUGAAAGUGAACGUAGGUGAGAGCUUCGGCGCAUCAUCGACCGAUCCUGAUGUUUUCGGAAGGAUUUGAGUAGGAGCAU
rnacentral:rRNA from 1 species